rnacentral:lncRNA from 1 species
ACAAAACUCAAGACAGGAGAUCCUCAGAAUAAGCAUUACAAUGGCGUGUCUGGAUGGCAAAUGGCAACCAGAUAUGGGGGCAGAGAAGUCAGCAUUUUACUAAUACAAUAAUAAUCUUUGCACAGUGCACUAUAACAUGCCUACAAGGACACGUGUGUCAUGGGUCGUAAGGACUAAAGUGGGUGCAGAGAGUUAGACGCUCCCAUGUAAAUCUUAACUGCCCCACUGGUUGGUGGUUGUACCCAUCAUAUUACAUGUCUACUCCCCGAAGAACAUCCUGCAACCAGCUGAGUAGGCCAUCCUCUGUCAGCCACCGUGUGUGCGAACGUGUUAUGCAUUGUCUAUAUGUCAGUAUGUGUGCAUACAUACCUUGGUGUACAUAUCCGCAGUAUAAUAAAAAACACUCUAGUCCA